rnacentral:rRNA from 1 species
GACGGAGGAUGCAAGUGUUAUCCGGAAUCACUGGGCGUAAAGCGUCUGUAGGUGGUCAAAUAAGUCAACUGUUAAAUCUUGAGGCUUAACCUCAAAAUCGCAGUCGAAACUAUUAGACUAGAGUAUAGUAGGGGUAAAGGGAAUUUCCAGUGGAGCGGUGAAAUGCGUAGAGAUUGGAAAGAGCACCGAUGGCGAAGGCACUUUACUGGGCUAUUACUAACACUCAGAGACGAAAGCUAGGGUAGCAAACGGG